rnacentral:tRNA from 1 species
AUUUAUUUAGUAUAAUAGUAUGUGUGACUUCCAAUCACAAGGUCUAGUUUCUAGAAUAAAUA